UUCUGAUAAAAAUGAGUGUUCAAAUGGUGUAACCGUACGGUGAUACACUGUAAUUGAUACAUAGACAGAUAAACACACAUGAAAACAUAACCUCCAGUUGGAGACUUGGAGGUAAUAACAACAAUUACUAUUUUCUGUUUUAGAGGUUGUGUGAGUUUUGACAUCGAGUUAGACUCGAUUGAAAUCGACCAGUGUGAUGUUACUGAUGUACCACAAGCAAUCAUCCCUGAGAAGAAAGUAUUUCAUUUUUAUGGCAGCCACGUGUGUCGGAAUAUUACAACUAAGGUACGCUGGCCGGUUUAUUUAUUGAACAGCUUCAAUUUGGCAGGUAGAUAACUUGACAAUCUUGUAUAUAACUUACAGUACUGCAUAUAUAAUUAAAUUGAAGAAAAAUAUGGGGAAUGGUGUUAAUUUCAGAGAGUAACUCCGGUUGAGUUAUUUUGAAC